CUAGGCUUGACAUGACGGAAGUAGAACCUCGAAAGGGGAACGACUCGUAAAGUCGAGAACCGCCACAGAUGCUGCAUGGCUGUCGUCAGCUCGUGCCGUGAGGUGUUGGGUUAAGUCCCGCAACGAGCGCAACCCUCGGCGUUAGUUACCAUGUCUAACGCGACUGCCGGUUUCAAACCGGAGGAAGGUGGGGAUGACGUCAAGUCCUCAUGGCCCUUAUGGGUAGGGCUACACACGUCAUACAAUGGCGCGUACAGAGGGUUGCCAACCCGCGAGGGGGAGCCAAUCCCAGAAAGCGCGGCCUAAUCCGGAUUGGAGUCUGCAACUCCACUCCCUGAAGUCCGAAUCUCUAGUAAUCGCCCAUCAACAUGCUGCGGUGAAUACCUUCCC
rnacentral:rRNA from 1 species